rnacentral:rRNA from 1 species
UAGAUCACCGAAGUCAAGCAUCAUUGGGCGCGGUCAGUACUUGGGUGGGUGACCACCUGGGAACACCGCGUGCCGUU